UUUGGUUUUUGAGUUAUAAGCCAAAAACUGCAUUUUACCCCCAUGUUCUAUUUUUAGCCAUGGUGGCCAUCUUGGUUGGUUGGCCGAGUUACCGGACACAUUUUUUUAACUGUAUACCCCAAUGAUGAUUAUGGCUAAGUUUGGUUAAAUUUGCCCCAGUAGUUUCAGAGGAGAAGAUUUUUCUAAAAGAUACUAAGAUUUACGAAAAAUGGUUAAAAAUUGACU
rnacentral:lncRNA from 1 species